CGGGACUUCAGUGAAGCCGGGUGAAUGGGCCGGAGCGCCAGCCCGCAGCGGGAGCGCAGCGCUGGGCGUGGAGGCGGCGCUUCCCCACCAAAUUGUCUCGACUUCUUGAAUUGCCAGUUUUCAGCCUCCUCAUGCCUCCGUCUCCUUUAGACGACAGGGUAGUAGUGGCACUAUCUAGGCCUGUCCGACCUCAGGAUCUCAACCUUUGUUUAGACUCUAGCUACCUUGGCCCUACCACCCCAGGCAGUAACAGCCACCCUCCUGUCAUCGCCACCACCGUCGUGUCCCUCAAGGCUGCGAAUCUGACGUGUAUGCCCUCAUCCAGCGGCUCUGCCCGCUCCCUGAAUUGUGGAUGCAGCAGUGCCAGCUGCUGCACUGUGGCAACAUACGACAAGGACAGUCAGGCCCAAGCCCAACCCAGCACCACCGGCACCACCAGUGGAACCUCCACCUCCUGCCCUGCUAGCCAGAUGGUCAACAGUAAUGAGAAUGCGGGUUCUUUAAGUCCACCAGGCGGGGUGGGCAGCCCUGUGGCAGGGACCCCCAAGCAGCUAGCCAGCAUCAAAAUAAUCUACCCCAGUGACUUGGCAAAGAAGAUGACCAAAUGCAGCAAGAGUCACCUGCCAAGCCAGGGCCCUGUCAUCAUUGACUGCAGGCCCUUCAUGGAGUACAACAAGAGUCACAUCCAAGGAGCUGUCCACAUUAACUGUGCCGAUAAGAUCAGCCGCCGGAGACUGCAGCAGGGCAAGAUCACUGUCCUAGACUUGAUUUCCUGUAGGGAGGGCAAGGACUCCUUCAAGAGGAUCUUUUCCAAAGAAAUUAUAGUUUAUGAUGAGAAUACCAAUGAGCCGAGCCGAGUGACGCCCUCUCAGCCACUUCACGUAGUCCUCGAGUCCCUGAAGAGAGAAGGCAAAGAACCUCUGGUGUUGAAAGGUGGACUCAGCGGUUUCAAGCAGAGCCACGAGAACCUCUGCGACAACUCCCUGCAGCUCCGCGAGUGCCGGGACGCGGGGCCCGGCGCCCACGCGGCCCCCCGCGCGCCGCCCGCGCCCGCCUCGCCCGACGUGGAGGGCGCCGAGCUCACGCCCGUGCUGCCCUUCCUGUUCCUCGGCAACGAGCAGGACGCCCAGGACCUGGGCGCGCUGCAGCGGCUGAACGUGGGCUACGUGCUCAACGUCACGGCGCACCUGCCGCUCUACCACUACGACAAGGGCCUGCUCAGCUACAAGCGCCUGCCCGCCUCCGACAGCAGCCGGCAGGACCUGCGCCAGUACUUCGAGGAGGCCUUCGAGUUCAUCGGGGUGCCGCUGCUGCCAAUCCCAGGACCACACUUCGAGCAGCAGAAGCCAGAGGACGCUGCGCAGACGUGACCACCACGAAGACUAGUGGCCACGGGGACUCAGCUCGGCUCUCCCUGGGACCUAUUGUGGGCUCUCCACCCCACUCCGAUUUCUAGAAAAUAGAGGAUAAAAUGUAAAAUGGAGCUAAUAAUACCUGUUAUUUCUCAACAUCCAUAGAAGUUUCAUGAGAAAAUAACUUAAUGGCUGCAGAGUAUUUUGAAAUCUGGAGUGCUGUGAGCUUAUGACUUAAGAGUGCCUCUCCUCAAGGACAGAAGAGUGCUUCCUAAUGACCCAGAGUCCGCACAACGGCUUGGAGUCAGAGGGUGUUGUAGACGAGGAAACUGAAGCCCGAAAAGGAGCUGUGACUCAUGCAAGGAGCAUAGCCAGGACAGCCCGCUCACUCCCAGACCUUUGUUAUAUCAUCCGACAAGUUCUGUGCUGUCUGGACUGCAGCAGAGCACCAUACUGAGGGUGAGUGAAAGGUGGCUAGUAUACUGCAGGCUUUGGUAAGAUGCAUGCACUCCAGGGGUGGGAAAUAAAUGCUAUAAUAAUUAAUGAGCCUUGCCACCUCAGCAAAAUAUCCAGGGUCUACUGGCCAGGGCAUGCUGAUCAUCCUGUGCAAAGUAAAAGAUAAAUUGUUGCAUCUUAAAUCCCCUUUUACAAUGAAUGAUGCACAAGUCUUGGUAGGCCUUUUUAGCUUCUGAAGACAACACAUUAUACAUGUAGGAAUAUUGCUAUGACCCAAAUACUGGGUGACACAAUAGGCUGUCAGCUCUGAGUGGGUUCCAUGGUAAUAAAAAGGGCUUGGCAAAGGGCUUAGACUGUGGUACAAGCAACUCUGCCACUUGGGCCAUAUAAUCUGUCAGGCCCUGUGGUGCUGGAGAUAUCAGUGGUAGAAAAGAAUGCAAUGUGGGCUUUAUAGCAAGUGCUAGCACGAGAACAGCAAUAGAAGCACUUGAAGUUCUUGAGAUGGUCUGCACCACCUCUAUCAGAGAAUCACACAGCAUCGGAAAACAGCUCUUGGGUUCUUGUGCUGUUGGGCUCUUAUAGAUAGGAAACACUUGGCUGUCAGACACCAAGUGACUGUAAGUCUGCAAAAACUGGUUCUUCUUGGAGUUACUAAGUUAAGGAAUUGGGAAGAUGAUGGCAGCAGUCCAUCAUAAGAUGGAAAUGGUAUAUGAAGGCCUAACAUGACCAGGACUGGAGGGCACCAUUAACAUGCAUGAGCAAGUAGCCCAAAUUCCCAUUCACCCACCAUGACCGCACCAGUGUUCUUUUUUCAUGUCGCUAUGGCUACACUGGAUGGGGCCAAUUACAAGUGCCAUAUUGCAAAGCCAGGAAGGAAGGGCAAAAAGCCAGAGCCUGGUGUUUGCAUGGGUCAUCUUAGUGAGUGAGUACAAGCCAAAAAUUCAUAGUGACCUCAUUAUAGCCUCACUCAGAGGAGAUCUCAUAAAACAGCAGUGAGGUAAAAAGCUUCAUGGUCAGUGGCAAAUGGCCUGGUUGGCUGGUCUGGAGCCAGGAAAGUAAAAGAUUGAAAGAUUGGAGAAAAAAACAUUGAGAGUAGAGGUAUGUAAAUGGAUAUAUUAAAAUGGGCAGAAAGCAUCCACCAUGGAUGAGGCACUAAACUACCAAACUGAAAAGCACAAUUUGGCCAGUUGGCAUUAACCAGUCUUUGUCAGCAGCCAGUCCAGUUUUGUCACAAUGGACAGGUGAAUCAAGUGACCAUGGAAGCAAAUUUGACAGCUAUACCUGGGAUUAGUAGUUCCAUCUCCCACUUCCCAAGGCCAGUUUAACUAUUGCUACCUAUCAAUGUCUAACCUAUUAGCAACAGAAACAAAUUUGAUGCCCCCAGUAUGGCACUGUUCCUUGAGGGAACCAACUGAUGGUGGCAAGUUUAUUCUAUUGGAUCCCUCAAGAGUAUCUAACCUAUUCCAGGUCUAGGUUUGUCAUUUCCACCUGCAGAAACUCAGCUAACACCUAUAUCUUGGGGUUUAAAGGAUAUUUGAUUCUGAGGUGUGGAAUGCCACACAGUCAUAGCAUCUGAUCAGAGAACCGCUUUGCAGUGAUGGAGGUGUGGGAGGGAGCCCAAAAUUAUAGAACCCACUGGAAGUAUCACACAAUACACCACCCAGAAGCGGCCAGUCUCAGAGGUCAUUAAAAAGGCCUGCUGAGGGCACAGAUGAAUUACCAGCCCAGAGGAAAAACUCUGCAAAAUUGAGCCCUAUCUUUCAGGAUACAAAUAUACACAUUGAAUCAGAGAUGUUUACCUGGCACCAGGUUCAUAAUAGAAAGAAUACAUAAGUUUGAGAACGAAGGCAUGUAUAAGGAGUUGAUGCACCAAUACCCAUUCCCACAAAUUAAUGGAGAGACUUUGUGCUUCUGACAGCUCACUACAGAAAUCGAGGUCCUCAUCCCCGAAAGGGAGCACUCUUGCCAGUGUACACAGCAAGGAUCUAAUCAAACUACAGACUACAGCUACUGCCUGGGCACCUAGGGCUCCUUGCAUGCAGGGACUGGUGGGCAAGAAGAGGGUUCAGCAUCUUCUCAGGAGCAACCAACCAUGAUCAGUAGGAGGAGAAAGGGCUGCUGUGAUACCCUGGGGGCAGGGAAGAAUCCACGUGGAACUCAGGUCACCCACUUGGUGCCUCUUUGUCCUUCCUUGCCCAACUGUGAUUGGGAAUAAGCAAGCAAGAAGGAGAUCAGACCCUUCAGAGAUGAGAUCUGGGCCAUCCCCCAAGCCCAGUUAGGCCAGUGAGAGUAGCAGAGGUCGUUGUUGAGGAUGAGGGCAAAUUGACAUGAAUCACUCAUUGUGCCAGUUGUGGGCUUUAGACCAAUGGCAGCCACAGGGCUUGGAGUUUGUUAUACUAACUUCCCUUUCUUAAGUUCAUCCUUAGGAGGAGAGGAGCUGCUCUCUCAUGUGUAUAGACAGGUAGAUUGCACUGCGCAAACUUCCCUGACACACAAAGUGCUGCAUUUUGCAUGUCGGAGAAAAGGAGAUGAGCCACUAUUCUGUUUCCUCUUCAUGAGAAUUGCUGCCCAGCAGCAAGGAGCGCAGUGAGCUAACAGUGGCCAGUGGUAAGCUUUUGGGGGGUUCACUUUAGCUUUUGAAUUGAAGUUACACUUUUCUUGAGGGGACGCUAAGCCAAUGCCUGAGCCAGAUGGUGGCACGAGAGCAUAAUCGUUUCUACCCCAUGCCAGGCUCUCUUAAAGGGCAGUCAUUGGUCCAGAGUCCUGAAUUUGGCUGGCAGAGACUUUGUCAGGACUGUGUCACAGUCAGAUGACACCCCAGCCCAGCCUCUCACAAAUCUUAUUUCUCAAUAAACCUUUGCACUCCUGAUUCCACCUCAGUAUCUGAUUCUCAGAGAACACAAUCGGCACAAUUUUAUGAAAUCAUAACUAAAAGGACACAAUUCCAUGCCUCUCCAAGGCACUCAGAUGCCAUUAAAAGCCCUGGAAUGUUAAAACGGAAGCGGUCACAGUCAAACUAGCUGACAGUCUCAGAGACCCAAGUCCAUACAGCUGCUAAGAGACAGCAAGGGGAUCAAUAGAUAUUCAAUACAUCAAAACUAUUAAUAUUUAUGAAACAACUGAUAGGCAUGAAUAAAAAUUAGAAAUAGAGGUCAAUCUACUUAAUGAUACCAUGUAGCUCCAGGUAUUCAAACAUAUUUAUUUAAAAACAAACAAACAAACAAACAAACAAACAAAGCCACAGGAAAUCAGCGAAACAACUGAGCACAUAGUCUCAAUAUGAAAGGAUUUUGAACCUUGGAACUAUUUCCUCAAAUGUCCACUUCUAGAGUAGAAGAGAAAAUGUUCUUAUUAAUAGCAAAAUAUGAAAACGGGCUGAUUGUAGAAUUAAAGGGAAAGAUUGAAGACAGACAAUUUACCUCUUGAGUGCCAAAGAGAUCACACAAAUGACCUCAGCUAAACAGACUAAGGCUCUCGCUCGAAACGAUCGGAGCCGCGUGUUACAAGCUGCAAGACAUAACCCAGCAGCCAAAUGCGCUCUCCCUCCCCGCCCUAAUGGAGCCUCAAUGAUCCUAGCUCAAAAAGUACAAAAGGCUUUGGAUUGGUUCCCUGAAACACAGAGGGAUGUAUUUUGCAAGUGCGACCCAGACAGACCGCUGCCUGGGCGGCCUGUGCAGUCCGUGGGGUGCAGCAGCCAGGUCCCCUGUGGCGGGGAUCAGUCCUCCGAUCAUCUUUCUUGCCCUUGAGCCAAUCCAUUUGUAUGUGGCAGUCAGAAAAAGCAUUUGGAAAGUAAACAGGAUCAUGUUAAUGUCUUGCUUAAAACCUUUCAAUGAUUCCAUAAAGAUCACUAUAGGAAAGAGAAUGAUGUGUAAAACUGGGCCUUUCCCCUAAGGAAGUUAGGAUAGAGCUGAAAGUACCUGCUCAGUGAGACAGCUUGGGCACGUCCUAAGCCAGAGGAAUUAGAGUAAGUUAAUACUGAAAAAUAAAGGGGGGCAUGUAUAAUAUGACAUGUACUGUACAUAUAUGACCUCAUUUAAUCUGCACAGUUAACUCAAUAAGGUAGCUAUUGAUAUUAUUCCCAUUUUACAAAUAAGGACAAUGAGAUACAGAUGGUUUGAGUAACUCACCCGCUAGCAUGUAGCUAGUAGUGGCAGAGCCAGGCUUCAAGCCCAAAGAGUGUGACUCUGGCAUCUUACUUCUAACUUACUAUACUCGGUCUAUUGCAAAGGGAUGCCAGGAAUACGGUUCUAUUCUUUAGAAAGAGGACUUUGACCGUGCUAAGUCGGAACAAGCAUUCUCACUUCUGUCUCACGCCCUCUAUUUCUCGUGCGGAGCCCUAUGGCCGAGGGAAGUGCGCAGGUAGAGGGGAAAUCCAUGGUAGCUGCAGCAAGCCAGGGAAGCUCAGCGGGUGCUUUGGAGGGUGCUGGUGUGCAUGCCUCCUCCAACAGAGAGUGAGUCCCAGAGGGGAGAGUCUUUUUUAUGCUUCAUGGUAAGCCCAGCAUUUAUAGUCAUUGCUGUACCUAGCAGCUGCUCAAUAAAUACUUGUUGAAUCAAAAGAAUGAAUGUGCAGAAGCUAGUCGAGGCUGAGGAAGAUGCGAAGUUACCCUCUGUGUGCUAGCUUCUCUUCUCUCCCCUGUACCUCCAUCACAUGCCUCCCAUCCAGGACGCUGGUCUAUUGAAGAGUUGCUCAAUAUAGAAAUGCACUGUGUUGCAGAGGACCUGAUUUUCCUCAUACAUAAGGCCACUUAGGGACACUUAGUGUGGCCUCACGUGCCCUGAGGUUGGCCCUGCCCCAAGCACAGUGAAGCCAGCCUUGCUGAGUUGUUGGGAGCACUGGAAAUAGCAGCCUUGAUUCUUGGGCCUGAGCCAACCCAUUCUCUCCCUAUUGGAUCAAGUUUCCUACUACAGAAUAAAUAGGGCACCUCUAAUACUCCCAAAUGCUACCUUCAAAUCCGUACACUUGAGUGAAUAAUUUGCUUCCUGCUUCCCAAAAAAGUUCCCAGUAGAUGAUGUGACAAAUUUUACUCUCAUUGACCUUGCUAAAAAUGUCCCUGUUAUGACCAGAUUUCCAAUUCAGUUUUCAACCGCCUUGCCCAAGAAGAUAUAUAAACUCAUAGAAGACCAGGACUAGAGCUAUGAAACCCACUGUUCAGCAUUGUAUAUAAGGAGACAUUUAAUAAGUGCUUAAUGGCGAUAAUGAUCUACAUUUUGGCAGGGACCGAUCAGAAUGUCACUGUAGAAAGCGCUGAGCAGUGCUUGACUCCCGGCACACGCCGUGGCUUGGCAGCCAGGGCAGAAAGGAGUGGUGUGCCAGGGAGCCCGAGUCACGAGGCCAAACCGAGAAAAGGGUCCUCUUUGCGUCUGGCCAUUGAUGGCCACAGAAAGUAUGGAUGCGAUAAUUUGAUCUCCUUGGAGCUACAAAAGUCCUUUUAGGUAAAUGUUUUUCUUUUACGUCAACACCACAAAAUAGCCUAUGAUAUAAACUUAUACAUGGAGUAACUGGGAUUCUAGUGUAUGAAGAAUCAGGUUGUUUACUUAAUGAUGGACAAAAAAAAGUAACCAAAACCUCGCGAUUUAAACAUGUCACACAGUGUCAGUUUUUAAAGAAAAUCUAUUUAAUGUCAUCAAUUAGCCAUUUAUUUAGAGAGUAGUCUUUAUUAAUAAAUUGCUUUGUAGCCUAUCCUUUGAAAGCCAUUUAAGAUACAGAAUCUAAGGUCCCUGGACUUAAACUGAUAACCAACACAGAACAAGAAAAAAAUAUACUCUGAAAUUCAUAUAUGUAAGCCACAAAUAGAUAAUAAUGCAAGAGUAAUAUUAUAUUUAUUAUAAAUCAACAUUAAAUUGUGCAU